rnacentral:rRNA from 1 species
CCUACGGGGGGCUGCAGUGGGGAAUAUUGGACAAUGGGGGCAACCCUGAUCCAGCCAUGCCGCGUGUGUGAAGAAGGCCCUCGGGUUGUAAAGCACUUUCAGUGAGGAAGAACGCCUGGUGGUUAAUACCCAUCAGGAAAGACAUCACUCACAGAAGAAGCACCGGCUAACUCCGUGCCAGCAGCCGCGGUAAUGCGGAGGGUGCGAGCGUUAAUCGGAAUUACUGGGCGUAAAGCGCGCGUAGGUGGCUUGAUAAGCCGGUUGUGAAAGCCCCGGGCUCAACCUGGGAACGGCAUCCGGAACUGUCAAGCUAGAGUGCAGGAGAGGAAGGUAGAAUUCCCGGUGUAGCGGUGAAAUGCGUAGAGAUCGGGAGGAAUACCAGUGGCGAAGGCGGCCUUCUGGACUGACACUGACACUGAGGUGCGAAAGCGUGGGUAGCAAACAGGAUUAGAUACCCUUGUAGUC